AGCGAACGCUGGCGGCAGGCCUAACACAUGCAAGUCGAGCGGGCAUCUUCGGAUGUCAGCGGCAGACGGGUGAGUAACACGUGGGAACGUACCCUUCGGUUCGGAACAACUCUGGGAAACUGGAGCUAAUACCGGAUACGCCCUUAUGGGGAAAGGUUUACUGCCGAAGGAUCGGCCCGAGUCUGAUUGUCUAGUUGGUGGGGUAACGGCCUACCAAGGCGACGAUCAGUAGCUGGUCUGAGAGGAUGAUCAGCCACACCGGGACUAAGACACGGUCCAGACUCCUACGGGAGGCAGCAGUGGGGAAUAUUGGACAAUGGGCGCAAGCCUGAUCCAGCCAUGCCGCGUGAGUGAUGAAGGCCUUAGGGUUGUAAAGCUCUUUUGUCCAGGACGAUAAUGACGGUACCGGAAGAAUAAGCCCCGGCUAACUUCGUG
rnacentral:rRNA from 1 species